rnacentral:rRNA from 1 species
AGAGUUUGAUCCUGGCUCAGGAUGAACGCUAGCGGCAGGCUUAACACAUGCAAGUCGAGGGGCAGCAUAAUGGAUAGCAAUAUCUAUGGUGGCGACCGGCGCACGGGUGCGUAACGCGUAUGCAACCUACCUUUAACAGGGGGAUAACACUGAGAAAUUGGUACUAAUACCCCAUAAUAUCAUAGAAGGCAUCUUUUAUGGUUGAAAAUUCCGAUGGUUAGAGAUGGGCAUGCGUUGUAUUAGCUAGUUGGUGGGGUAACGGCUCACCAAGGCGACGAUACAUAGGGGGACUGAGAGGUUAACCCCCCACAUUGGUACUGAGACACGGACCAAACUCCUACGGGAGGCAGCAGUGAGGAAUAUUGGUCAAUGGACGCAAGUCUGAACCAGCCAUGCCGCGUGCAGGAAGACGGCUCUAUGAGUUGUAAACUGCUUUUGUACGAGAGUAAACGCUCUUACGUGUAAGAGCCUGAAAGUAUCGUACGAAUAAGGAUCGGCUAACUCCGUGCCAGCAGCCGCGGUAAUACGGAGGAUCCAAGCGUUAUCCGGAUUUAUUGGGUUUAAAGGGUGCGUAGGCGGUUUGAUAAGUUAGAGGUGAAAUUUCGGGGCUCAACCCUGAACGUGCCUCUAAUACUGUUGAGCUAGAGAGUAGUUGCGGUAGGCGGAAUGUAUGGUGUAGCGGUGAAAUGCUUAGAGAUCAUACAGAACACCGAUUGCGAAGGCAGCUUACCAAACUAUAUCUGACGUUGAGGCACGAAAGCGUGGGGAGCAAACAGGAUUAGAUACCCUGGUAGUCCACGCAGUAAACGAUGAUAACUCGUUGUCGGCGAUACACAGUCGGUGACUAAGCGAAAGCGAUAAGUUAUCCACCUGGGGAGUACGUUCGCAAGAAUGAAACUCAAAGGAAUUGACGGGGGCCCGCACAAGCGGAGGAACAUGUG